AGCCUGGGCUUGAGCGCGCGCAGAAGUCAGCUUCGUGACUUCCUUCUCAGGAUGGAACCAGCUUGGUGGCUUGAGGGAAAGGGGUUCUGAGUUGCAAAUCAGAAACUUGAAGAUGAAAUGGCUACUACGCUGGGUAUUGCCUUUAUCUUGAAUGCCAGCCUGAUGGUCCAAGGUGAACAAGCCUUCCUGUGUUUUCUGAAUGUGCAGUUCCCCCGCACUUUGCCUGCCACCAUGUAAGAUGUGUCUUUGCGCCUCCUUUGCCUUCCACCAUGAUUGUGCGGCCUCCCCAGCCAUGUGGAACGGUGUCUGGGGUCUGUCAGGAUCAACAGGCCUUGAGAGAGACUGACCCAGAGGACUACUAAAAGGGACACCUGCCCAGGCCAGCCUAUUCUACCAUCCUCGUUCUCCUGCAAAACCAAGGCCACGUCAUUUCAGCAGAGGACCUGCGUGUGGAAGGACCCUGCAGCUGGCCCAUCACAGGAGAGGCCCAGACUCACCUCCCAAGGGGACCCUGGCACAUGAAGAUGCUGGUUCUCCUGGGAGUGCUGCCCUGGCCCACAGGAUAGAAGCGCAGGAUGGUCACCCAUGUCUGCUCUUAUUGAAUGUGUCUUAGAAGCGGCUCCAUGUGUGAUUUCUUUCCCACAUUGGUUAGUAUGGUGUAUACCACGUUUGUGUUCCCAGGCUUUUGUUUAAGUUUGUGGGCAGCCCUGACAUCAGCAUCACACUCAAUGCCUGGGCUGAGCAUAUCCGUCAGACCUCCCAACUAGGCCCACUCAUCACAUAGUCCCAUGCUGCACUUCUAGUUCUGCCAGCCACACCCCAUGCUGGUCCUCAGCCUGGAACACCCUCCCCCACCCUCCCUGCUCAGCUGUCCAGCUCCUACUCAUCCUCCGGCCCCAGGGCAAAUUCACUCUUCCACAAAGCCUGACCUCUCUUCAGCCCACAGGAUCUCUCCUGCCUAGGAGCUUGGUUGUGCAUAUUUGUCCUGUGUGCCUUUGACACAGCACAGUCAUCUCUGACUGCCAACAUCUGUUGCUGCCAACAUGGUAUCAGUUAACCCCUGCACUGCCAUUUAACUUUUCCUCUGAAGUUCUUUGAGAAGGGGACCCUGCCUCAUGGGCCCUUUGUAUUGCCAUCCAAUGUGUGUUAGAAUCUAAACAGUUAGAUAAUUAUCAACCUGUGCCUGAGACCUGCAAUGAAUCAAUAUGUAAAUGAAUCAGGGCACUGGUCAGUCUUCCAGCCCCACUUGAUAUUAAAGACUCAGUGAAGAUGGUUAGCAAAGCAGAGGACAGCAAAUGGGUCUCCGGCAGCUGUGAAGCACCAGAGUUUAUCCAAAGGGGGGACGUGGGGUCUAGAGACUCAUCUCAAAGUUGCAUUUUCAUAACAAAUACACUGGGUUUUUUUUUUUUUUAGCUAUAUUGUGUAUUUGUUGGGGCCUAAUGGAAAUUUAGGAGGACCUAAACCCCCAAGCCACCCUUGGCACCACCCCUACAAGGGGCAGCCACCACAGGGACUGGACAGUUCCAGCAGUUUCUGAAUCCACAGUGUCACAGAGAUCUCAGCUGUAUCCUGCUUUUUUAGGAUCCCAAAGGAACCAUCUGCCUACACUCUUUGCCAGCUGUGCUAAUGUUUGUUUUACACUGCCCAGUAAUGAUUAUAAAAUUACUAUUGCAUGUCCUCAAACUCCACUGGCUUUAAAGAGGGUCUAGAGGCACAAUGAGAACAAGGAGAUGUGGGCAAGACAGGCAGACAGCGAUAAGGAGGUUCAGAGAGACAGCGAGGGAGUGAGUAAGGGCGAGAUCAAGAGAGAGACAGGCCCGAGGCCAACCCGCAGCUGACCGCUGGCGUGAGGAACAUGGGCUGCCUCUCGCCCCAGGUAUGUUGGCACAGCUGGGCUGUUCUGGCCUCAAAGAUGAUGACAGGACAACAGGACUGGCAGGAGCGGUUCCUGACCCAUGAUUUGAAAUCUACAAUCUGUCAAAAUUACCAUAAUUAUUGUGCUAAGGUAGUUGGGUUAUGGGAAAUUCCCCCUUUCUCAUUCAUUCCUUCAUUCACCUGACAAAUAGCACUUGAAUGCCACUGUGUGCCAGACACUGUGAUAAGCAAAGUGGAUAAAGGGUGAGCAGCUCAGCAGCUGGAGAGAAAGAAAGACAUAAAUAAAGAGCGUCUACAGCCAGAUCUGGGCAGCAGGACAUGAGGCUCAGACUGUUGAUUCUAAAGCCAAGCUGCCUGGGUUUGAAUCCCAGCUCUGCCACCCACCAGCUGUACAAUCCUGGGCAAGUUCCCUGACCCCUCUGUGCCUCAAUUUCCCCCGUAGAUCUAAAAUAGAACAAGUAAGAGUACCUUAGAGGGCUAUGGUGAGGAUUGAAUAAGUUAAUCCUUGCAGAGGUUUUAGAACAGUGCCUAAUAAAUAAGGCCAGAUGUUUGUUGUUAAAAAAAAAAAUAGGGCCACGAAGGGCGUAAUUUAGAUAGGAUGGUUAGGAAAAGCCUGAAAAAUGAAUGUUAACAAUGUUCUGUGGCUGGGCGCGGUGGCUUACGCCUGUAAUCCCAGCACUUUGGGAGGCCGAGGCAGGCAGAUCACCUGAGGUCAGGAGUUCAAGACCCGCCUGGCCAACAUGGUGAAAACCCAUCUCUACUAAAAAUACAAAAAGUAGCUGGGCGUGGUGAUGCACAUCUGUAAUCCCAGCUACUUGGGAGGCUAAGACAGGAGAAUCGCUGGAACCAGGGAGGUGGAGAUUGCAGUAAGCCAAGAUCUCACCACAGCACUCCAGCCUGGGCAACAGAACAGGACUCCGUCUCCAAGAAAUAAAAAUAAAAAAAAUACAAAGAAAAGUGUUCUGGGCUGGGCGCAGUGGCUCAUGCCUGUAAUCCCAGCACUUUGGGAGGCCAAGGCAGGCAGAUCACGAGGUCAGGAGAUUGAGACCAUCCUGGCUAACAUGGUGAAACUCCAUCUACUAAAAAUACAAAAAACUAGCUGGGCGUGGUGGCAGGCGCCUGUAGACCCAGCUACUCAGGAGACUGAGGCAGGAGAAUGGCAUGAACCCGGGAGGUGGAGCUUUCAGUGAGCUGAGAUCGCGCCACUGCACUCCGGCCUGGGCGACAGAGCAAGACUCCGUCUCAAAAAAAAAAAAAAAAAGUUCUGAAAAUGACAAUAGUGAGAAGGUGGCAGCUCCUCUAAUCUACAGUCUCUAUAAUGUAAUAUUUAUUUUAUAAUUCCAAAGAUAAUAUUUUCAUUUAAAAAACGUGCACCCUCGGUAUUUUCAAGUCUUGGGGAUGGCCCUUUGAUGAGUCGCACUGUCUAACUCACCUGGUUUGGUGCCAAAAGGAACCACCUGUUUUCUGGGGCUGUGGCCUGCAGCCUUAGGAACAGUGCUUUGCUCUGGGGGAAGCUAAAAGUUGCAAUGGGGCUAAGCUAAGAGCAGCAACUCCAUGGCUCAGCCUCCUGAGCCUUGUGCUCUAUUUGAUGAGAUAAUCCACAGCUGCCUGGUGCAAAGUCAAGAACCGGAGAAGAGAAACAGAGAUUGCUGACCUUCUCCGUGGGCCACCAGAGUCCAGCCUGCAUGUGCAGGCUCUCCCUCCAGCACACAGGUUGCUCCUGCAGGGCUCAGCCCCAGCAACGCUGAGAGGGUGAAACUGGCCACCUACCUCUCCCUCUGAUUCCCACCCUGGAUGCCCUGUGUCCCAGGACCCCUGUAACAUUCUCCCACCCUAAGUAAUCAUCUCUGGACCUUGCCACCUGAUCAUGCCAUUAAAUUCCCCUAAUGCCA
rnacentral:lncRNA from 1 species